rnacentral:rRNA from 1 species
UAAGUUAGAAAGGGCGCACGGUGGAUGCCUUGACACUAGGAGUCGAUGAAGGACGGGACUAACGCCGAUAUGCUUCGGGGAGCUGUAAGUAAGCUUUGAUCCGAAGAUUUCCGAAUGGGGAAACCCACCAUACGUAAUGGUAUGGUAUCCUUAUCUGAAUACAUAGGAUAAGGAAGACAGACCCAGGGAACUGAAACAUCUAAGUACCUGGAGGAAGAGAAAGCAAAUGCGAUUUCCUGAGUAGCGGCGAGCGAAACGGAACAUAGCCCAAACCAAGAGGCUUGCCUCUUGGGGUUGUAGGACAUUCUAUACGGAGUUACAAAGGAACGAGGUAGACGAAGCGACCUGGAAAGGUCCGUCGUAGAGGGUAACAACCCCGUAGUCGAAACUUCGUUCUCUCUUGAAUGUAUCCUGAGUACGGCGGAACACGUGAAAUUCCGUCGGAAUCUGGGAGGACCAUCUCCCAAGGCUAAAUACUCCCUAGUGAUCGAUAGUGAACCAGUACCGUGAGGGAAAGGUGAAAAGCACCCCGGAAGGGGAGUGAAAGAGAUCCUGAAACCGUGUGCCUACAAAUAGUCAGAGCCCGUUAACGGGUGAUGGCGUGCCUUUUGUAGAAUGAACCGGCGAGUUACGAUCCCGUGCGAGGUUAAGCUGAAGAGGCGGAGCCGCAGCGAAAGCGAGUCUGAAUAGGGCGUUUAGUACGUGGUCGUAGACCCGAAACCAGGUGAUCUACCCAUGUCCAGGGUGAAGUUCAGGUAACACUGAAUGGAGGCCCGAACCCACGCACGUUGAAAAGUGCGGGGAUGAGGUGUGGGUAGCGGAGAAAUUCCAAUCGAACCUGGAGAUAGCUGGUUCUCCCCGAAAUAGCUUUAGGGCUAGCCUUAAGUGUAAGAGUCUUGGAGGUAGAGCACUGAUUGGACUAGGGGUCCUCAUCGGAUUACCGAAUUCAGUCAAACUCCGAAUGCCAAUGACUUAUCCUUAGGAGUCAGACUGCGAGUGAUAAGAUCCGUAGUCAAAAGGGAAACAGCCCAGACCGCCAGCUAAGGUCCCAAAGUGUGUAUUAAGUGGAAAAGGAUGUGGAGUUGCUUAGACAACUAGGAUGUUGGCUUAGAAGCAGCCACCAUUUAAAGAGUGCGUAAUAGCUCACUAGUCGAGUGACUCUGCGCCGAAAAUGUACCGGGGCUAAAUACACCACCGAAGCUGCGGAUUGAUACCAAUGGUAUCAGUGGUAGGGGAGCGUUCUAAGGACAGUGAAGUCAGACCGGAAGGACUGGUGGAGUGCUUAGAAGUGAGAAUGCCGGUAUGAGUAGCGAAAGACGGGUGAGAAUCCCGUCCACCGAAUGCCUAAGGUUUCCUGAGGAAGGCUCGUCCGCUCAGGGUUAGUCAGGACCUAAGCCGAGGCCGACAGGCGUAGGCGAUGGACAACAGGUUGAUAUUCCUGUACCACCUCUUUAUCGUUUGAGCAAUGGAGGGACGCAGAAGGAUAGAAGAAGCGUGCGAUUGGUUGUGCACGUCCAAGCAGUUAGGCUGAUAAGUAGGCAAAUCCGCUUAUCGUGAAGGCUGAGCUGUGAUGGGGAAGCUCCUUAUGGAGCGAAGUCUUUGAUUCCCCGCUGCCAAGAAAAGCUUCUAGCGAGAUAAAAGGUGCCUGUACCGCAAACCGACACAGGUAGGCGAGGAGAGAAUCCUAAGGUGUGCGAGAGAACUCUGGUUAAGGAACUCGGCAAAAUGACCCCGUAACUUCGGGAGAAGGGGUGCUUUCUUAACGGAAAGCCGCAGUGAAUAGGCCCAAGCGACUGUUUAGCAAAAACACAGCUCUCUGCGAAGCCGUAAGGCGAAGUAUAGGGGGUGACACCUGCCCGGUGCUGGAAGGUUAAGGAGAGGGGUUAGCGUAAGCGAAGCUCUGAACUGAAGCCCCAGUAAACGGCGGCCGUAACUAUAACGGUCCUAAGGUAGCGAAAUUCCUUGUCGGGUAAGUUCCGACCCGCACGAAAGGUGUAACGAUUUGGGCACUGUCUCAACCAGAGACUCGGUGAAAUUAUAGUACCUGUGAAGAUGCAGGUUACCCGCGACAGGACGGAAAGACCCCGUGGAGCUUUACUGUAGCCUGAUAUUGAAUUUUGGUACAGUUUGUACAGGAUAGGCGGGAGCCUUUGAAACCGGAGCGCUAGCUUCGGUGGAGGCGCUGGUGGGAUACCGCCCUGACUGUAUUGAAAUUCUAACCUACGGGUCUUAUCGACCCGGGAGACAGUGUCAGGUGGGCUGUUUGACUGGGGCGGUCGCCUCCUAAAGUGUAACGGAGGCGCCCAAAGGUUCCCUCAGAAUGGUUGGAAAUCAUUCGUAGAGUGCAAAGGCAUAAGGGAGCUUGACUGCGAGACCUACAAGUCGAGCAGGGACGAAAGUCGGGCUUAGUGAUCCGGUGGUUCCGCAUGGAAGGGCCAUCGCUCAACGGAUAAAAGCUACCCCGGGGAUAACAGGCUUAUCUCCCCCAAGAGUCCACAUCGACGGGGAGGUUUGGCACCUCGAUGUCGGCUCAUCGCAUCCUGGGGCUGUAGUCGGUCCCAAGGGUUGGGCUGUUCGCCCAUUAAAGCGGUACGCGAGCUGGGUUCAGAACGUCGUGAGACAGUUCGGUCCCUAUCCGUCGUGGGCGUAGGAAAUUUGAGAGGAGCUGUCCUUAGUACGAGAGGACCGGGAUGGACGCACCGCUGGUGUACCAGUUGUUCUGCCAAGGGCAUAGCUGGGUAGCUAUGUGCGGAAGGGAUAAGUGCUGAAAGCAUCUAAGCAUGAAGCCCCCCUCAAGAUGAGAUUUCCCAUAGCGUAAGCUAGUAAGAUCCCUGAAAGAUGAUCAGGUUGAUAGGUUCGAGGUGGAAGCAUGGUGACAUGUGGAGCUGACGAAUACUAAUAGAUCGAGGACUUAACCA